rnacentral:rRNA from 1 species
GAUCCUGGCUCAGGAUGAACGCUAGCUACAGGCUUAACACAUGCAAGUCGAGGGGCAGCAUGAACUUAGCUUGCUAAGUUUGAUGGCGACCGGCGCACGGGUGAGUAACGCGUAUCCAACCUGCCCUUUUACGCGGGGAUAGCCUUCUGAAAGGAAGUUUAAUACCCGAUGAAUUCGUUUAGUCGCAUGGCUUGAUGAAGAAAGAUUUAUCAGUAAAGGAUGGGGAUGCGUCCCAUUAGCUGGUUGGUGGGGUAACGGCCCACCAAGGCGACGAUGGGUAGGGGUUCUGAGAGGAAGGUCCCCCACAUUGGAACUGAGACACGGUCCAAACUCCUACGGGAGGCAGCAGUGAGGAAUAUUGGUCAAUGGGCGCGAGCCUGAACCAGCCAAGUAGCGUGGAGGACGACGGCCCUACGGGUUGUAAACUCCUUUAUAAGGGGAUAAAGUUGGCCAUGUAUGGCCAUUUGCAGGUACCUUAUGAAUAAGCAUCGGCUAAUUCCGUG